rnacentral:tRNA from 1 species
UCCUUGAUGGUCUAGUGGUCAGGAUUCGGCGCUCUCACCGCUGCGACCCGGGUUCGAUUCCCGGUCAGGGAA